rnacentral:rRNA from 1 species
AGUGAACGCUGGCGGUAGGCCUAACACAUGCAAGUCGAACGGCAGCACAGGAGAGCUUGCUCUCUGGGUGGCGAGUGGCGGACGGGUGAGGAAUACAUCGGAAUCUACUUUUUCGUGGGGGAUAACGUAGGGAAACUUACGCUAAUACCGCAUACGACCUACGGGUGAAAGCAGGGGACCUUCGGGCCUUGCGCGAUUGAAUGAGCCGAUGUCGGAUUAGCUAGUUGGCGGGGUAAAGGCCCACCAAGGCGACGAUCCGUAGCUGGUCUGAGAUGAUGAUCAGCCACACUGGAACUGAGCCACGGGCCAGACUCCUACGGGAGGGAUCAGUGGGGAAUAUUGGGCAAUGGGCGCAAGCCUGAUCCAGCCAUACCGCGUGGGUGAAGGAGGCCUUCGGGUUGUAAAGCCCUUUUGUUGGGAAAGAAGUCCAGCUGGCUAAUACCCGGUUGGGAUGACGGUACCCAAAGAAUAAGCACCGGCUAACUCCGUGCCAGCCGCCGCCGUAA